GAGUUUGAUCAUGGUUCAGAUUGAACGCUGGCGGCAUGCCUUACACAUGCAAGUCGAACGGCAGCACGGGAGCUUGCUCCUGGUGGCGAGUGGCGAACGGGUGAGUAAUGCAUCGGAACGUAUCCUGGAGUGGGGGAUAACGUAGCGAAAGUUACGCUAAUACCGCAUAUUCUGUGAGCAGGAAAGCGGGGGACCUUCGGGCCUCGCGCUCUUGGAGCGGCCGAUGUCGGAUUAGCUAGUUGGUGAGGUAAAGGCUCACCAAGGCGACGAUCCGUAGCAGGUCUGAGAGGAUGAUCUGCCACACUGGAACUGAGACACGGUCCAGACUCCUACGGGAGGCAGCAGUGGGGAAUUUUGGACAAUGGGGGCAACCCUGAUCCAGCCAUGCCGCGUGAGUGAAGAAGGCCUCGG
rnacentral:rRNA from 1 species